rnacentral:misc_RNA from 1 species
GAAAUGCGAUAAGUAAUGUGAAUUGCAGAAUUCAGUGAAUCAUCGAAUCUUUGAACGCACCUUGCGCUCUUUGGGCCAUCCCAAAGAGCAUGCCUGUUUGAGUGUCAUUGAAUCCUCAAAGUGGCCCCCUUUUUUUCUUGGGGGGGAACCUUUGGACUCUGGGAGCGCUGCGGGGCCUGCCUUCUUUGGCCCCGCUCUCCUCAAACGCAUCAGUGGGCAAAACCCCCCCUCGUACCCUUCGGGUCUCCGCGGCGUUGAUAGUCGUCUACGCCCUCACCCGUUGGGUCUCGGCCUGCCCCUCAACCCCUUACACUCUUUUGAACACUUUGACCUCAAAUCAGGUAGGACUACCCGCUGAACUUAA